rnacentral:lncRNA from 1 species
UUUCCUCUGUAUAGAAUAUAAGUAAAUAACCUAUAACAAGUCAAUAAUUCCUGCAAAGAGGCCGACACACUUAAAGAAUAAAUCUAUUGUCAAAAUUUUGUAUUAAAAUAAGUUUGCAAUAUUCCAUAGACUCUGAGUCCAAGGAAUAGAUAUCAACUAUUCGUGUGCUCUAGUACUCCUGUGUCAUUGUAGUAUUACUUUCAUGACUUAACAUUGGCUGGGUCUUUCCCUUUAUAAACUCAUUAGUAGGCUGUAUUGCAUCUCUAUCUCAAUCAUAAUGAAUGUUGCAUGAGUUCCUCCCAAAGAAAAUUGUGUCAAGAUAAAUGUUCACCGCUUUUCAUCAGAAGGUCCUCUUCCAAAUGGCAACUCCAACAGGGUAGGUGUUCUCAUGAAUGCACAUGGCAGGAAACUGUGGGAAGCUUGUGGCCUUAAGCAUCACGACUAAUGUCAAGGAGGUCAUGUGGGGAAUACAAUCGGAGCCGCCAGAUGUGUUGAACUGGGUUUUCACAAGGUACACAUCGAUUGAGACUAAUGACUUCCUAGCUUUCAGUGUUAUCUGAUAUCAAGAAGAAAUGGUCAUCGAAAUGACUUAGUAGAAGUCAUGACUAGGUUUAACACAAUCCUUGCAAAUAACUUCAAACUUGGCAAAACAGAUCGCAUCGUCACUCGAGUCCCAGGAAGAUAAAAUGCUGCGCGGCUGAGUAAAUGGCUAUGUAUGGUCGGGAAAACCUUCCGGUCAUUGCAGCAGUCCCUGCUCAAGCACUACAAGAAAAGAGGUCAUUUUCGUCCGUCAAAUUCUGGUAAUAAGUAGCCGCUUUUCUUGUAGUGAAGGAGGAUGAGGGCGUGUUCUAAAUCUUUUAUUCUAUUUUUCCUCAAUUUCUAGGAUUUCACUACUUAUUGGCGUUUUUAUAUUUGAAAUUUCCGUCAGAAAUUGAAAGGUGAGACUAUUAAUCAUUGAACUAUAUCAUUUCGGUUUGGUAUUUAAUUUGUGACUACAGAAAAUGCUGGUCUGGUGUAGAUAUGUCCUUUCUUUUUAAUAAUUUGCAUUUAUUUUAUGCUUCAGCCACGUAAACUGAGACCAAAAAUCACUAUCGGAGAAAUGUCAAAAGUUGUCGCUUUUUUAUGAUCAUUAAUAGUUGCCAUAUUAAUAUGCAUGAAUUUUAUUAUAUAGUAGAUUGUAUAUGCACAUAUAAGAAUCAUUUGGUGACAAUGAUGCACGUCAAAUUUCCAACACAUGUUUAAUUAAAUUUCAUAUGUAUGUCUUUUCUUUUUGAUAUUUUACAUUUAUUUUUUUCUUCAGCCAAGUAAAUUGAGCAAUACAAAUAUUCACAAUGGGACAAAUGUCAAAAAUCGUCGCUUUUUUAUGAUAUGUAAUAUUUGCCAUAUUAAUAUGCAGGAAUUGUAUUAUAUAAUAGAAUAUUGUACAUGCACAUAUAAGAAUCAUUUGGUGAAAAUGUUGCAGGUCAAAUUUCCAACACAUGUUUAAUUAAAUUUUCUUUAGUUCAGGCAUUUGUGUUAAAAAUUUUCUAUCAUGUUUCUGCGGUCAUUAUCUACUUGGCACUCACCUUCACCAACAAAUCUAGUAUCACUCUUUAUUUCUUCAUUAAAUUUUAAAAUUUUCUCAUAUUUACAAAGAUUGUGCGCUGGUAUGUACCGUUUGUGGUGUAUGGUUCUAUUCUUAAUCCUCAAGAUUUGAGAUGUAUUGUUCUUUUUAGAUUUCAAAGUUUGUCCAUGUGUAUUUAUAUGUUAACUAAAAUAUAUCUUAAAAAUAUAUAAUAUGAUCUUUUCAAUAAGGCGAAGCGUGUAUUUUUCCUUUAUACAGAAUAUAAGUAAAUAACCCAUGACAAGUCAAUAAUUCCGGCAAAGAGGACACACUUAGAGAUUAAAUCUAUUGUCAAAAUUUUGUAUUAAAAUAUGUUUGCAUUCAGUAGACUCUGAGUCCAAGGAAUAGAUAUCACCUAUUGGUGUGCUUUAGUACUCCUGCGUCAUUUGUAGUAAUACUGUCAUGACUUAACAUUGGCUAGGUCUUUCCAUUUAUAAACUCAGUAUUGCAUCUCUGUCUCAAUCAUAAUGAAUGUUGCAUGAGUUCCUUCCGAAGAAAAUUGUGUCAAGAUAAAUGUUCACCGCUUUUCAUCAGAAGUUCCUCUUCCAAAUGGCAACUCCGACAGGAUUGGUGUUCUCAAGAAUGCAGAUGGCCGGAGACUGUGGGGAGCUUGUGUCCUUAUGCAUCACAUGACUAAUGUCAAAGCCGUCAUGUGGGGAAUACAAUCAGGAGAUGCCAGAUGUGUUGAACUGUGUUUUCACAAUCCAUGCAAAUAACUUCAAACUCGUCAAAACAGAUCGCAUUGUCACUCGAGUCCGAGAUAAAAUGCAGCGUAAGAAAUGGCUCAUGAAGAUGCCAUGUUGACAAACCAAGCUCAGGUCCCUUUAGGGGUUGAAGUUUAAUAUAUUAUAUUUUAAUAAUUAAUAAUUUAAAAUUAUUUUAGUUUUUCAAAAUUAUUACAAAUAAUCAUUUUUCUAAAACUCUACGCAACACACGUAUUUGACUAUUGCAACAUGAAAUGGACAUGAAUGAUUAUCAUUGUUGUUGGUAUGGAUUAGUAGUAACAUAAUUUUGCAACACUCAGUGUUCAUAAAAUUGCCUAGG